GUCCUGUGGUCAUAGCGAAUCUUUCUAAAGCUCUGAUCAGUCAAGAAGGGGGUUGUAUCAAUCCUCAGAACCCUGAGUGGAACUUUCUACAGGAUUUAUUAGGAGAAAAACCUUCCCGGAAGCUGCAGAAGGACAAAUACAGAAUCCGUGUCUGGGAGAAACCUCGUGGCCUGGUCUCCAUUAUUUGAGAUGAGUUACAUCUUGGAGGCCUGAUCUUUUGGCCAGAAGGAGAUUAAAAAGAUGCCCCUCAAGAUGGCUGUGCCUGUCAGCUGCAUGGAGCUUCGUUCAAGUAUUUUCUGAGCCUGAUGGAUUUACAGUGAUCUUCAGUGGUCUGGGGAAUAACGCUGGUGGAACCAUGCACUGGAAUGACACACGCCCGGCACAUUUCAGGAUACUAAAAGUGGUUUUAAGGGAGGCUGUGGCUGAAUGCCUCAUGGAUUCUUACAGCUUGGAUGUCCAUGGGGGACGAAGGACUGCAGCUGGCUGAGAGGGUUGAGAUCUCUGUUUACUUAGAUCUCUGCCAACUUCCUUUGGGUCUCCCUAUGGAAUGUAAGACCCCGACUCUUCCUGGUGAAGCAUCUGAUGCACGUUCCAUCCGGCGCUCAGCUGGGCUUGAGAAUCCUGUUACACCUGGGAUUUAGGCACUUUCAAUCUGAAAAAAUACAUAUCCUUUCAGCACUCUGGACGGACUUGAGAACUGUCCUUACGUGACCUAAAGCUGGAGUAUUUUGAGAUUGGAGAAUUAAGAGCCAGUCUUGGUGCUCUGUGUUCACCUGGUUCAUCUGAGGAGCUGCAUCUACCCUGCCCAUGCCAUAGAUCCUGCCCUGUUUGCUUCUCCUGUUGCUGCUAGUGGACAUGAGGUAACCACAGCCUAGUUCUGUGAUAAGCUCUUCACACCUGUACCCAUAUGGACUGUGGGAGAGUUUCUCUGAUAUGGACUGUGAUGCGGAAGGACAGAAUAACGGGCUCCCAGAUUCACAAGCCCCACCAAGAGGAUCACCCCAGGAACGCUUGGAGGCUGAGGAGUUCACUGAGGCUACUGCAUCUUGAGACUCAGGAUGAAGACCCAGCUUGGGGCUGUCAAAGGUUUUUUGCAUGUCUGACACCCAUGACUCCACCUGGACCUUAUGGCUCCACCCAGAAGCAAUUCAGCCCAACAGGAGGACAGCUUCAACCCAUUACGAUUUCAUCUCUGCCCCAACCACUCAGCAGCAAGCACCUGUUACCUGUCCACCCCCACCCCUUCCCCCAAACUGCCUUUGAAAAAUCCCUAACCUAUGAGCUUUGAAUAAGAUGAGUACGAACUUCAUCGCCCACGUGGCGUGGCCGGCCUCGUGUCUAUUAAAUUCUUUUUCUACUACAA
rnacentral:lncRNA from 1 species